ACGGAGGGUGCAAGCGUUGUUCGGAUUGACUGGGCGUAAAGGGCGUGUAGGCGGUUGCCCAAGUCCGAUGUGAAAGCCCGAGGCCUACCCUCGGAAGUGCAUCGGAAACUAGGCAGCUGGAGCGCGAUAGAGGAGGGUAGAAUUCCUGGUGUAGCGGUGAAAUGCGUAGAUAUCAGGAGGAAUACCGGCGGCGAAGGCGGCCCUCUGGAUCGUUGCUGACGCUGAGACGCGAAAGCGUGGGGAGCAAACAGGAUUAGAUACCCUGGUAGUCCACGCUGUAAACGAUGGGUACUAGGUGUUCGGGGUAUUGACCCCCUGAGUGCCGCAGUUAACGCAUUAAGUACCCCGCCUGGGGACUACGGCCGCAAGGUUA
rnacentral:rRNA from 1 species